rnacentral:rRNA from 1 species
UCUUUUGCUCUUCCCGCUUGUAUACCCCCGUCGUCAGCUUACCCUGUGAAGGUUUACUAGUAAGCAGAAUUGGCCUACUCCAGAACGUCAGGUAGAGGCGCAGUGUAUAGGAGGGGAAUAAAUGGGCUACAUUUACUAAUAUAGUAAACUACGGAAAGGGUACUGAAACCCGUACCCCAGAAGGAGGAUUUAGUAGUAAGGGAGGAACAGAGUGCCUCCCUGAAACUGGCCAUAAAGCGCGCACACACCGCCCGUCACUCUCCCCACAUAAUAUGUAUAUACUUAUUUUAAAACACUACCUUAUUAGCUUAGGGGAGGCAAGUCGUAACAUGGUAAGCGUACCGGAAGGUGCUCUUGGAAAA